UACGUAGGUGGCAAGCGUUGUCCGGAUUUACUGGGCGUAAAGAGCGCGCAGGCGGUCGUCCAAGUCGCGUGUGAAAGCCCCCGGCUCAACUGGGGAGGGUCACGCGAUACUGGUCGGCUCGAAGGCAGGAGAGGGUAGUGGAAUUCCCGGUGUAGUGGUGAAAUGCGCAGAUAUCAGGAGGAACACCGGUGGCGAAGGCGGGUCUCUGGGCAACAACUGACGCUGAGGAGCGAAAGCGUGGGGAGCGAACAGG
rnacentral:rRNA from 1 species